rnacentral:rRNA from 1 species
UACAGGGGGGGCAAGUCGUUGUUCGGAAUUACUGGGCGUAAAGGGUCUGUAGGUGGCCAACUAAGUCAGACGUGAAAUCCCUCAGCUUAACUGGGGAACUGCGUCUGAUACUGGAUGGCUCGAGUGUGGGAGAGGAAUGCGGAAUUCCAGGUGUAGCGGUGAAAAUGCGUUAGUAUAUAGGAGGAACACCGGUGGCGAAGGCGGGUCUCUGGGCCGAUACUGACGCUGAGGAGCGAAAGCGUGGGGAGCGAACAGG